rnacentral:rRNA from 1 species
CUCUUGUUAUUAAUAURUGGGUGACUAUUGCUCGGGUUUGAGCUUAUGAAAUUUUUAGAGUAAGGUAAGUUGGAUUUCGGUCUAACUUCUUACAGACUUUUUAAAUUUCUAAAGUUUGGGCCAGUGUAGAAAGUCAUAUGGUAGCUAGCUCUUGACAUAAAUAGAAUAAUAGAUUUAUCUAGCGUUUUGUUUGUUUUAAGGUCUAGUACUGCUAAAUGCUUUAAUAGUUAAGAAGGUUUAAGCGACCCGUCUUGAAACACGGACCAAGGAGUCUAACAUGUAUGCAAGUAUUAUGGUGUAAAACCAGUAUGCACAAUGAAAGUAAUUUCAAGGUAGGAUCCCGCAAGGGUGCACUAUCGACCGAGCUAAAGAGAUUUUUUUCUUUGGUUUGAGUAAGAGCAUAUAUGUUGGUACCCGAAAGAUGGUGAACUAUGCCUGAAUAGGGUGAAGCCAGGGGAAACCCUGGUGGAAGCUCGUAGCGAUUCUGACGUGCAAAUCGAUCGUCAAAUUUGGGUAUAGGGGCGAAAGACUAAUCGAAC